rnacentral:rRNA from 1 species
CCUACGGGUGGCAGCAGUGAGGAAUAUUGGUCAAUGGACGAGAGUCUGAACCAGCCAAGUAGCGUGAAGGAUGACUGCCCUAUGGGUUGUAAACUUCUUUUAUAUGGGAAUAAAAUGUUCCACGUGUGGGAUUUUGUAUGUACCAUAUGAAUAAGGAUCGGCUAACUCCGUGCCAGCAGCCGCGGUAAUACGGAGGAUCCGAGCGUUAUCCGGUUUUAUUGGGUUUAAAGGGAGCGUAGGUGGAUUGUUAAGUCAGUUGUGAAAGUUUGCGGCUCAACCGUAAAAUUGCAGUUGAAACUGGCAGUCUUGAGUACAGUAGAGGUGGGCGGAAUUCGUGGUGUAGCGGUGAAAUGCUUAGAUAUCACGAAGAACUCCGAUUGCGAAGGCAGUUCACUGGACUGCAACUGACACUGAGGCUCGAAAGUGUGGGUAUCAAACAGGAUUAGAUACCCUAGUAGUC